GACGAACGCUGGCGGCGUGCUUAACACAUGCAAGUCGAACGGAAAGGCCCUGCUUGCCGGGUACUCGAGUGGCGAACGGGUGAGUAACACGUGGGUGAUCUGCCCUGCACUUCGGGAUAAGCCUGGGAAACUGGGUCUACUACCGGGUAGAAGCCAUUUUUAGUGUGCUUGUUGGAAAGUUUUUGCGGUGUAGGAUGAGCUCGCGGCCUCUCAGCUUGUUGGUGGGGUAAUGGCCUACCAAGGCGGCGACGGGUAGCCGGCCUGAGAGAGUGGACGGCCACAUUGGGACUGAGAUACGGCCCAGACGCAUAAGGGAGGCAACAGUGGGGAAGAUUGCACAAUGGGCGCAAGCAUGAUGCAGAGAAGCCGCGUGGGGGGUGACGGCCUUCGAGGUGUAAACUUCAUUCGAUAGGGAAGAAGCAUUUUGUGACGGUACCUAGAUAAGAAGCACCGGAUAACUACGUG
rnacentral:rRNA from 1 species